rnacentral:rRNA from 1 species
CACGUAGGGUGCGAGCGUUGUCCGGAAUUAUUGGGCGUAAAGGGCUCGUAGGCGGUCUGUUGCGUCGGGAGUGAAAACUCAGGGCUUAACCCUGAGCCUGCUUCCGAUACGGGCAGACUAGAGGUAUGCAGGGGAGAACGGAAUUCCUGGUGUAGCGGUGAAAUGCGCAGAUAUCAGGAGGAACACCGGUGGCGAAGGCGGUUCUCUGGGCAUUACCUGACGCUGAGGAGCGAAAGUGUGGGGAGCGAACAGG